rnacentral:rRNA from 1 species
UUUGCCUACGGGAGGCAGCAGUGAGGAAUAUUGGUCAAUGGUCGGGAGACUGAACCAGCCAAGCCGCGUGAGGGAGGAAGGUACGGAGUAUCGUAAACCUCUUUUGUCAGGGAACAAAGACUGGGACGCGUCCCCGGAUGAGUGUACCUGCAGAAGAAGCUCCGGCUAACUACGUGCCAGCAGCCGCGGUAAUACGUAGGGAGCGAGCGUUAUCCGGAUUCAUUGGGCGUAAAGCGCGCGUAGGCGGCUGCCUAAGCGGAACCUCUAACCCCGGGGCUCAACCUCGGGCCGGGUUCCGAACUGGG